rnacentral:rRNA from 1 species
CCCUUAGAUGUUCUGGGCCGCACGCGUGCUACACUGAGUGGAUCAGCGGGUCAGGUUGCGCGAAAGUGUUUCCUAAUCUUUAAAUCCGCUCGUGAUGGGGAUUGACGGUUGCAAUUUUCCGUCAUGAACGAGGAAUACCUUGUAAGCGCGGGUCAUCAUCCCGCGCUGAAUACGUCCCUGCCCUUUGUACACACCGCCCGUCGCUCCUACCGAUUGAGUGGUCCGGUGAGGCUUUGGGAUCUGAGCGGAAAGAGCGUUUCGCUGUUUCUGCCCGCAAAACUCAGUCGAACCUUAUCAUUUAGAGGAAGGAGAAGUCGUAACA